rnacentral:misc_RNA from 1 species
GUGAGAUUCAACUGACAUAUAAAAUCAACUAAUCGUCCUCAACUAAAAUGAUACAUCAAGGCAAUUCUAUAUUUUUAUGAAGACACUUUAUGAAACAGCUUCAUCUAGGCAAUUAUAUUACAGAGAAAUACAGGUCAUUAACAAUUUACUCAUCAGCUUAAUUCCCGUUAGUCAAUACCAAAAAUGAAAAGAGAAGGAAAGGAGUAUAAUCUACCACCUAGUUUUUCCACUUGUACUUUGCUGACAUUUUUAAUUACAUAUCACCAAUCUCAUCAUCAACAUCUACCUUUGAGAGAGCCAUCAACCGUGCCUGCAAACCACCGUUAAGAUCCUUCUUGUUGUUUCCAGCUUGCCAAUGGCUAGCUUUGAUAUUCCACAUUUCACUAAGACAAUUCCAAGAGAUUUGAACGUCCAGUCAUCAGGUUGUAUAGCAGCUUCUACCAUUUCCUUGAAAGUUCCCACCGCCUCUUUUAAUCUGCCAUCCAACACGUACAGCCCAAGCACAUUAUUGAAGCUCAACAAAUCAGUCAAAAGGCCCAGUUCUCUCAUUUGUUUUGCAAUUUGAAUGGCUUCUUCAAACCUCCCAAGCCUUUUGUACAUGCAUAACAUCAUUGCAAAAGUAAAUUCAUUUGCAUCCCCAUUUCUCUUCAUGCUCACAAAAAUCUCUUCUGCUUGUUUGACCAUAGAAUGCUCACUGUAGAGAUCUAUCAUACAAUUUGAAGAAUAUGCAUCAGGACCCACAUCUGAUGAUUGAAGCAGUUUGUAUGUUUCUUGUGCUUCUCUCAAGUAGCCAACUUUGGUAUAGAGCUUGAUCAAGGAAUUGUAUACGACUGUAUUUCCAGGCAAACCUGCUCUUUUCAUUGCAUCAACAUAAGUGAUGGCUUUUUUGACACUUCCAGCAUCAGCAAAAGCAUUUAUCAACACGCCAUAAACUAUAACAUCCGGCUUCACAUCAAAGCUAAUCAUCUCCUUAUAUAGCUCCUCUGCCAUUUCCAGUCUACCUAAUUUCACGAAGCUUGAGAUUACAGCACAAUAUUGAAUGCAAUCACUAACCAGUCCUGCCUCUUGCAUCUUCUUCAGAUAGUAUUUUGCUUUGUCUGGUAAGUCAGCACUAGCCAAAAUCUGUAUGAGAGAACUAUAGCUAAAUAUAUCUGGAACUACACCAUAACUCUCCAUGCUAUCAAACAAGACACAUGCUUUAUCAUAAUUCUUUCCUAAACCAUAUGCUUUGAUCAUCACAUUGAACUCAAGGACGGUAAGCUUGUUCUGUUCUUGGCAGCAUCUAAAAACUUUAGCAGCUUCCAAAAUAUGUCCACGCUCCCCAUAUGCAUCAAUGUUGGCAGAAUAACACUCAGAAGUCAUAUUUCCAGCAAGAUGAAACCUCCUGAACCAUAACCAUGACUUCUCAAGCAUCCCAGCUUCUAUGUACAUUCUAGUCAGAGCUGACUGUGUAUACUCAUCAAUCUCUAAACCCUUUUCAUCCAUCUCUGAAACCAAAUCUUCUGCAUCAUUUACCAUUUGUCUUAUUGAGAAUGCAUAUAGGAGGGUGCGGUAACUCACAAGGUCUGGCUGCAACUGAUCUUCCUUCAUCCUUUUAAAGAAGCCAGCUGCCAUGUUUAUAUCAUUGUGCUUAGUAUGCAGGGAAAUGAGAAUAUUAUAUGUCCUUGUAUCAGGCGGGCAUCGAAGCUCCUCCAUCUUCUGCAUAAGUAAAGCCACUUCUUCAAGCUGGCCAUGAUUACCACAAAUAUGAAUCAUCGUAUUGAAAGUUACUGUUGUUGGCACAAUCCCUUUCCUAAGCAUCUCUGCAAAAGUCUCAGAUGCUUCUUUAAGCUGCCCAGCUUUGCCGUAGGUGUCUAUCAACGUAUUAUACGUGUAUGAGCUCAAAAAAAGAUUUGCUCGUGUAUCAUUCUCCAGUCUAGAACUAGCUUUACUGAUUCCUCCAUGCUUCAAAGAUUCACCCAACGACCACUUCUUGAAAAACUCCUCGGCUUUUUGAAACUCCCCUGCCUUCUUGUACAUUUGCACAACAAUCCCCAUUGUUACCUCAUCAGGUUCCAUUCCUCGCUCAUUCAUCUUCUCAAGCCACAGAAGUGCCUCUCCCUUAAGGCCACCCUUGGUAUAAACAUCAAUCAAUGUACCAUAUGUAGAAUUGAUAGGCGAAAUCUUUCUAAUAUUCAUUUCCUUGCACAAACAUUCAAGGUGGCUCCAUUGCUGCUCUUUGCCAAGAAUCCUAAUCAUGAUGUUAUAAUGAAUAAUAUUCAGCUCAUAACAACCCUUUCUUUUAAACCACUCAAAGAUCUCCAUGGCUCUCUCCCAACUAUACUGCUCCUUCAAAAUUAUGCUUCUUUCUUUGUUACUAAGUGUAUCUUCCCAUGGUCUGAAUGCCUCGUCCAAGUCUUUAAUUGUAUCCAAAGCAUGCAAAAUUGCUGGAAUACAACCGCCAUAAUUUCCCCAUUUCGUCGAACACUUGGUGUGCAAUUUGUUGACAGAGCCAUUGCCGUUCAACCCAUUUAGUUUAGCCCCAAAACUCUUCUUGCUUGAAACUUUAGCAGCAUCCCUUGUGGUAUUUUUGAGCUCCCUAUCAGAGUUCUUCUCCAAAACCCGAUACUUUUUGUAAAUUACAUUGAACCGCUUCUCUUUUCCAGUGGAUGUCUCAAGGAGUGUUCGUUCUCUUAAUUUCCUGAUGGGUUCAACUUUUUCUAGCGGAGAAACAGAAACUCCUACAUUUGGUGAGGCCCUGGUGGAGCUGAAUAUGUGGAAACUAUUGGUAUUUAACUGAAGCUUCACAUACAUUGGGAUGUGAUGUGCUUAAAUUCUAGAGAUUAGUGAGACUUCAAGAAAAUUAGUUCCAACUUUCAAGUAAGUUCGAGGCAAUUGGGAUUCACCGGUCAUGCAAUGGUAUCACACUUUUUAGCGUUU